rnacentral:sRNA from 1 species
CCCUCCUCUUCCCCAGAUUACUACUUUGUAACCAGGGAGGUGAUGCAGCGUGACAUAGCAGCCGGCGACUUCAUCGAGCAUGCCGAGUUCUCGGGGAACCUGUAUGGCACGAGGCGGCGGUGCAGGCCGUGCAGGCCAUGAACCGCAUCUGCGUGCUGGACGUGGACCUGCAGGGUGUGCGGAACAUCAAGGCCACCGAUCUGCGGCCCAUCUACAUCUCUGUGCAGCCGCCUUCACUGCAUGUGCUGGUGUGUGCUGGGCAGGGUUGGGGGCUGGGGGCCAGGGCAUGCCAGGCUCUGAUUGCCACCCCCUUUUUAGGAGCAGCGGCUGCGGCGGCGCAACACUGAAACGGAGGAGAGCCUGGCGAAGCGGCUGGCUGCUGCCCAGGCCGACAUGGAGAGCA